GUAGGUGGCAAGCGUUGUCCGGAAUUAUUGGGCGUAAAGCGCGCGCAGGCGGUCCUUUAAGUCUGAUAUGAAAGCCCACGGCUCAACCGUGGAGGGUCAUUGGAAACUGGGGGACUUGAGUACAGAAGAGGAAAGCGGAAUUCCAAGUGUAGCGGUGAAAUGCGUAGAGAUUUGGAGGAACACCAGUGGCGAAGGCGGCUUUCUGGUCUGUAACUGACGCUGAGGCGCGAAAGCGUGGGGAGCAAACAGGGAUUAGAUACCCUGGUAGUCCACGCCGUAAACGAUGAGUGCUAAGUGUUAGGGGGUUUCCCGCCCCUUAGUGCUGCAGCUAACGCAUUAAGCACUCCGCCUGGGGAUACGGCCGCAAGGCUG
rnacentral:rRNA from 1 species